rnacentral:rRNA from 1 species
GACGAACGCUGGCGGCGUGCUUAACACAUGCAAGUAGAACGAAGUGGCGAACGGGUGAGUAAUACGGGGAUAACCUGCUAUCCUUUUUGGGAUAAGCCUUGGAAACGGGGACUAAUAACGAAUAAAGGGGGAUGGGCUCGCGGCCUAUCAGCGUGUUGGUGGGGUGGUGGCCUAGCAACGUGGUGACGGGUAGCCGGCCUGAGAGGGUGAUCGGCCACAUUGGGACGGAGAUAUGGCACAGACUGCUACGGGAGGGAGCAGUCGGGGAUAUUGCACAGUGUGCGAAAGCAUGGUGGAGCGACUCCGCGUGGUGGAUGAAGGCUUUCGGGUUGUUAACCUCGUUGGCUAUCGAACGGGUAGGUGGCGAAGAAGCGCCGGCUAACUACGUGCCAGCAGCCGCGGUAAUAC